UGUUACCUCUGUCAGGCACUGACACAGCUCACUGUCACGCUGUCACCCCUCUCAAGCACUGACACAGCUCAUUGUCAUGCUGUCACCCCUCUCAGGUACUGACACAGCCCACUGUCAUGCUGUCACCGCUGUCAGGCACUGACACAGCUCACUGUUACCUCUGUCAGGCAUUGACACAGCUCACUGUCACGCUGACACCUCUGUCAGGUACUGACACAGCCCACUGUCAUGCUGUCACCUCUGUCAGGCACUGACACAGCUCACUGUUACCUCUGUCAGGCACUGACACAGCUCACUAUUACCCCUGUCAGGCACUGACACAGCUCAGUCACGCUGACACCUCUGUCAGGCACUGACACAACUCAGUCAUGCUGACACCUCUGUCAGGCACUGACACAGCUCAUUGUCAUGCUGUCACCCCUCUCAGGUACUGACACAGCCCACUGUCAUGCUGUCACCGCUGUCAGGCACUGACACAGUUCACUGACACCUCUGUCAGGCACUGACACAGCUCACUGUCACGCUGACACCUCUGUCAGGUACUGACACAGCCCACUGUCACUCUGACACCUCUAUCAGGCACUGACACAGCUCACUGUUACCUCUGUCAGGCACUGACACAGCUCACUGUCAUGCUGUCACCCCUCUCAGGCACUGAGACAGCUCAUUGUCAUGCUGUCACCCCUCUCAGGUACUGACACAGCCCACUGUUACCUCUGUCAGGCACUGACACAGCUCACUGUCACGCUGACACCUCUGUCAGGUACUGACACAGCCCACUGUCAUGCUGUCACCGCUGUCAGGCACUGACACAGCUCACUGUUACCUCUGUCAGGCACUGACACAGCUCAUUGUCAUGCUGUCACCCCUCUCAGGCACUGACACAGCUCACUGUCACUCUGACACCUCUGUCAGGCACUGACACAGCUCAUUGUCAUGCUGUCACCCCUCUCAGGUACUGACACAGCCCACUGUUACCUCUGUCAGGUACUGACACAGCCCACUGUCAUGCUGUCACCGCUGUCAGGCACUGACACAGCUCACUGUUACCUCUGUCAGGCACUGACACAGCUCAUUGUCAUGCUGUCACCCCUCUCAGGCACUGACACAUCCCACUGUCAUCCCUGUCUGGCACUGACUCUGCUCACUUUCCUGCUGUCAUCCCUGUCUGGCACUGACUCUACUCACUUUCCUGCUGUCAUCCCUGUCUGGCACUGACUCUGCUCACUUUCCUGCUGUUUCCUCUGUGAGGCACUGGUUUAUGAAUAGCUACUCGAAGCACUUCAUGAUGAUUGGAGUAAGUGCCAGGGGGCAGUAGUAACACUGUGGUCUUCUUUGGCACCAGUACGAUGGUCAUGGUCUUGAAGCACUUUGGAAUGACUGUUUGCCUCAGGGAGAUGUUGAAGAUGUCCAUCGGGACCUCAGCCAGCUGGUCUGCAAGUAUUUGAGCACGUGGCACGUGUUAUGAGUAUUUGUGACUCUGUCUCCCUUAUUGGACUUGUUGGCGUAUCCAGUCACCGUAGCUGCAUACACAUUGAGGUCUGUUGCCCCCAUCAUUGGGGGCUCCUUCUCUGAUGAGAAGUCUCCGUGCUCAAAGCAGACCUGCAGUGCAGAGGUAGCACCCCCUGGUCUAACACGGAUCUGUUUUGUGACCAGUUGGGCUUGUCUCCGCAGUGACUCGUAGGCUGGGAUUAGCAUGACUGAGUCAUGGUCAAAGUGCCCUGUAUGGGGGAGGGGUGUGGCUUUGUAGGCUGAGAGAACCAAGUACAUGGUGCUCAUUCCCCUGGCUGCAACCAUCUUGGGAUAGUUUUGGUCGUACAGCUUUUUUUGACAAUGAUGGGAAAGCCAUUGGCAUGAGCAGUUUAGAGCUCAUUCAGUACCUACUUAGUAUAAAUAGUAUGGUCGACACUGCCGUAAAUUCCACCAGCAACGUAGAGGGUUUUGAGGCUACCACAGUGUUUGUGCUCCAUUCCACGUUAAUAAAAACACAUGCCGUCUCCACCGGUCUGACUACCCAUGGUAACUUCCCUGUCUGUGCAGUAUGCGGUUAGCCCAGCUAGCUGAAUGGCCUGGGAUGUUGGGAUGUUGUUAUUAAUACACAUCUCCCAUUGUGUGGUCCUCCGUAGUCUUAUAAAUUCCAGUUUGUGGUACAGGGAGCAAACAUUUGCCAGUUGGACGGAUGGUUCGACAGUUCUGGUUAGGUUAGCCGUUAGCCUAGCUCGGAUGCUGCCACACUUGCCACGCUUCUGGUUUUUCUCGCACAAUUUGUGCGUUCUCCUCAGGUGUGUGAGGCUUCAUCAGUUAGCCCACGUAGCAGGCCCAGGCUACGUAGCAUUAUUGCAAGAUCGACAUCUGACUCUGAGAUAUUGAGAUAUUGUUUGUUUUUGUCAUAUUUUUUUUUAAAUGUCCAGCAGGGUCCAAUGGUCAUUGGCGAGUCAUAUAUUGUUCUGAACACACAUUUGCUGGUACAAUACCAACAAUAAAUGAAGGUGUCUGUCACAAUUUUGUAAACGGACGGUGUUGCAGCUGCCCUAGCCGAAGUGACUGGUAUUUACCCACGUAGCCAUCCACGUUUAUUGACGAAGGAGGCAUUUCCUGUCACAAGUCCCCUCCCUGAAGUGGCUAGGCUUUGCCCACGCUGCCGUCCACGUCGGUCGAUAUUUCAGGGGUC